AGCCUUCAUAGCUCAGUUGGUAGAGCGCGGCACUAGUAAUGCCGAGGUCGCCGGUUCGACUCGUAAGUUUA
rnacentral:tRNA from 1 species